CCUACGGGAGUCAGCAGUGGGGAAUAUUGCACAAUGGGGGAAACCCUGAUGCAGCGACGCCGCGUGAGUGAAGAAGUAUUUCGGUAUGUAAAGCUCUAUCAGCAGGGAAGAAGAAAGACGGUACCUGACUAAGAAGCCCCGGCUAACUACGUGCCAGCAGCCGCGGUAAUACGUAGGGGGCAAGCGUUAUCCGGAUUUACUGGGUGGAAAGGGAGCGUAGACGGCUGUGCAAGUCUGAAGUGAAAGCCCAGGGCUCAACCCUGGGACUGCUUUGGAAACUGUGGAGCUAGAGUGCUGGAGAGGUAAGUGGAAUGCCUAGUGUAGCGGUGAAAUGCGUAGAUAGUAGGAGGAACACCAGUGGCGAAGGCGGCUUACUGGACAGUAACUGACGUUGAGGCUCGAAAGCGUGGGGAGCAAACAGGAUUAGAUACCCUUGUAGUC
rnacentral:rRNA from 1 species